AAUCGCACGCGUGAGAUUGAUCUUGUCGGCCGCGAAUCCGGCGAAUCUCGCGUAACCUCACGUUCGUUCCUCCGAAAGAUCGCGUGAAGUCAGUGAAGUUAGCUCUGAGCCGCCGAAAGUUCGUGUAAACAAGUCGACGAGGGCAGAUCGCGAGAAUUACCAAGUACUUUCGAUGUGAAAAAUUCCGAAGUUUUUCGACGUUGUCGAUGGUAUUCCAAGCGGGCGAUUGCGCGUUUCCGGUCGUAUUUUUGCAUCAUCGUGUCGGAGUAUUCAUACGCGACGAACUAGAUGCAGAUGUGAUUAUAUUUCUCACGAAUUUGGCGUUGCAAUAUUGAAAAAUUUGGUUUGGACCAAGCAUUGGCUGAAAGAUGCAGAUGUGAUUAUACAAUAUUUCUGACGAAUUUGGCGUUGCAGCACUAUGAAGGAUUCGGUUGCACCAAGCAAAAUCAGCUCAAAGAUGCAGAUGUGAUUAUACAAUAUUUCUGACGAAUUUGGCGUUGCAGCACUAUGAAGGAUUCGGUUGCACCAAGCAAAAUCAGCUCAAAGAUUCAAUGUGGUUUUAUUUCUUGUGAAUUUGGCGUUGCAGCACCGAAGGAUUCGGUUCAGGCCAAACAGUAUCGGUUCGAAGAAAUGUGACCGAUAUUGAAUCAUCGAUAUCAAGAGAGGCUGAAAUUCGUGAUUAUAUUGCAUGAUAAACAUGGAGAAUAAAGACGAUAUAUAAUUUUAAUCUUUAUAUACGAAAUCACAAAUAUCGUUCAAAAUAUUCCGAAAUAACUAUUAUAAUUAUUGUGUAAAGUUAACAAGAAUGCGUAAUUAGGAUUAGAUUAGACAAUUAUAAGUGGUCAAUUUUGGAAUAUUGACGACUCCUGAGUGCGUCGCGGGGGAAGUCGUCAUCGUCGUUCAAUAAGGCCUUCCGAUAAAUGGGCUUUAAAAUAGCGGCGACGCGAAAACAGAGCAUUAUUCGCGCGCGAGCUCUCGCGAUUUUCGCGUUUUAUCGAAACGAAAAUGUAAUAACUAAAAUCCGGACGUCGCCGCACGUCGCGAACGAAAAAAAGUAACGCGAGUGCAAGUGCUUCUACGAGGAGGAGGCCGAGGGAGGCAUCGGGCAACGGUGGAACAACUAUGUGCUUCAAUGGACAAUGGAUCUUCAUCUCAGCAUGCGUCUCUACAUUCAAAUAAAAAACGAAGUGCUUUCGCUAUUCUAUACUAUUAGCAAGUCAGCAUUGGUGAGUGCAUUUAUAUUAUGCAUGC